CAGAUGAGGAAAAUGAGCCACAAAGAGCUUUCAUGCCUGGUGCAAGCAUACACACAGGUGUGUCUUCUGGUCUCAUCAGGGAAAGGCUUCAGCCAGAGCCCCAGAGCACACGUCUCCCGAUUGCGGAUUGCGAUCCUGGACCGGUUACCCAGGAGUCCUUCACCUCCUCAGUCAAAUGGGUUGUGAUCCAUCCGAGAGCCAUGAAAUCAAUUUCCUGGAUUGUGACCAAGACUUAAAAAGUGUGACCAGGAAGAGAAUGGAAAAGAAAACACCAGGAUGCAUGGUACAUGACGUCUUCCCAGCAUCUUCCCAGCAGCAGACAGAGACUCAGAGACCAGAUGCUGUUGGAAAACGCUUGCUCGAGGCAAGGUUGCCAGAAUCCUUUAAUUUGUUG